rnacentral:rRNA from 1 species
CCCUUUGGGGUGUGACUGCGUACCUUUUGUAUAAUGGGUCAGCGACUUAUAUUCUGUAGCAAGGUUAACCGAAUAGGGGAGCCGGAGGGAAACCGAGUCUUAAUUGGGCGUUAAGUUGCAGGGUAUAGACCCGAAACCCGGUGAUCUAGCCAUGGGCAGGUUGAAGGUUGGGUAACACUAACUGGAGGACCGAACCGACUAAUGUUGAAAAAUUAGCGGAUGACCUGUGGCUGGGGGUGAAAGGCCAAUCAAACCGGGAGAUAGCUGGUUCUCCCCGAAAGCUAUUUAGGUAGCGCCUCGUGAAUUCAUCUCCGGGGGUAGAGCACUGUUUCGGCUAGGGGGCCAUCCCGGCUUACCAACCCGAUGCAAACUGCGAAUACCGGAGAAUGUUAUCACGGGAGACACACGGCGGGUGCUAACGUCCGUCGUGAAGAGGGAAACAACCCAGACCGCCAGCUAAGGUCCCAAAGUCAUGGUUAAGUGGGAAACGAUGUGGGAAGGCCCAGACAGCCAGGAUGUUGGCUUAGAAGCAGCCAUCAUUUAAAGAAAGCGUAAUAGCUCACUGGUCGAGUCGGCCUGCGCGGAAGAUGUAACGGGGCUAAACCAUGCACCGAAGCUGCGGCAGCGACGCUGAUGCGUUGUUGGGUAGGGGAGCGUUCUGUAAGCCUGCGAAGGUGGCCUGUGAGGGUUGCUGGAGGUAUCAGAAGUGCGAAUGCUGACAUAAGUAACGAUAAAGCGGGUGAAAAGCCCGCUCGCCGGAAGACCAAGGGUUCCUGUCCAACGUUAAUCGGGGCAGGGUGAGUCGACCCCUAAGGCGAGGCCGAAAGGCGUAGUCGAUGGGAAACGGGUUAAUAUUCCCGUACUUGGUGUUACUGCGAAGGGGGGACGGAGAAGGCUAUGUUGGCCGGGCGACGGUUGUCCCGGUUUAAGCGUGUAGGUGUGUGUUCCAGGUAAAUCCGGUUCACUUUAACACUGAGGCGUGAUGACGAGGCACUACGGUGCUGAAGCAACAAAUGCCCUGCUUCCAGGAAAAGCCUCUAAGCAUCAGGUAACAUCAAAUCG